rnacentral:rRNA from 1 species
GAGGCUUCGACAAUGCCCGAAAGGGUGAUCGAGCGACGCCGCGUGUGGGAUGACGGUCUUCGGAUUGUAAACCACUUUUGUUUGGGAAGAAGGCCUGUAUCGUGAAUAUGGGAUUGACGGUACCAAACGAAUAAGCCCCGGCUAACUCCGUGCCAGCCGCCGCGGUAAGACGGAGGGGGCAAGCGUUGUUCGGAAUCAUUGGGCGUAAAGGGCUCGUAGGCGGACUAGCAAGUCUGGCGUGAAAUCUCCACCGCUCACCGGGGAGAGGUCGCUGGAUACUACUAAUCUUGAGUUCGGUAGAGGGUCGUGGAACUUCGGGUGUAGCGGUGGAAUGCGUAGAUAUCCGAAAGAACACCGGUGGCGAAGGCGGCGACCUGGGCCUGAAUUGACGCUGAGGAGCGAAAGCCAGGGGAGCAAACGGG